AAAUAGAUACCCAGGUAGUCCACGCCGUAAACGAUGAGUGCUAAGUGUUAGAGGGUUUCCGCCCUUUAGUGCUGCAGCUAACGCAUUAAGCACUCCGCCUGGGGAGUACGGUCGCAAGACUGAAACUCAAAGGAAUUGACGGGGGCCCGCACAAGCGGUGGAGCAUGUGGUUUAAUUCGAAGCAACGCGAAGAACCUUACCAGGUCUUGACAUCCUCUGACAACUCUAGAGAUAGAGCGUUCCCCUUCGGGGGACAGAGUGACAGGUGGUGCAUGGUUGUCGUCAGCUCGUGUCGUGAGAUGUUGGGUUAAGUCCCGCAACGAGCGCAACCCUUGAUCUUAGUUGCCAGCAUUUAGUUGGGCACUCUAAGGUGACUGCCGGUGACAAACCGGNGGAAGGUGGGGAUGACGUCAAAUCAUCAUGCCCCUUAUGACCUGGGCUACACACGUGCUACAAUGGAUGGUACAAAGGGCUGCAAGACCGCGAGGUCAAGCCAAUCCCAUAAAACCNUUACUCAGUCCGGAUUGU
rnacentral:rRNA from 1 species